CGCAAAUUACCCACUCCCGGCACGGGGAGGUAGUGACAAAAAAUAACGAUACGGGACUCAUCCGAGGCCCCGUAAUCGGAAUGAGAACACUCUAAAUCAUUUAACAAGGACCUAUUGGAGGGCAAGUCUGGUGCCAGCAGCCGCGGUAAUUCCAGCUCCAAUAGCGUAUAUUAAAGUUGUYGCGGUUAAAAAGCUCGUAGUUGGWUCUGCGUCCCACGCUGUCGGWUCACCGCCUGUCGGUGCAACAUGGCACGCCGUGGGAUGUCCUGUCGGUGGUGGCCGGGUCUCGCGGYCCCGGCGUAGGCGCUUUCAAAGGCGCCGAAACCGUCCGUCGAGGAACGGUCGCCGAAUCAAUCCUGCCGCGGUGCUCUUCGCUGAGUGUCGAGGUAGGCCGACACGUUUACUUUGAACAAAUUAGAGUGCUCAAAGCAGGCUGAAUUCCGCCUGAAUAGUGGUGCAUGGAAUAAUUGAAUAGGACCUCGGUUCUAUUUUGUUGGUUUUCUGAAUCCGAGGUAAUGAUCAAUAUGGACAGGCGGGGGCAUUCGUAUUGCGGCGUUAGACUUGGCAAAUGCUUUCGCGGUGAAAUUCUUGGAUCGUCGCAAGACGGACUAGAGCGAAAGCAUUUGCCAAGUAUGUCUUAGUUGAUCAAGAACGAAAGUUAGAGGUUCGAAGGCGAUCAGAUACCGCCCUAGUUCUAACCAUAAACGAUGCCAGCCAGCGAUCCGGCGAUGUCCUUUUGAUGACUCGGCGGGCAGCUUACGGGAAACCAAAGCUUUUGGGUUCCGGGGGAAGUAUGGUUGCAAAGCUGAAACUUAAAGGAAUUGACGGAAGGGCACCACCAGGAGUGGAGCCUGCGGCUUAAUUUGACUCAACACGGGGAACCUCACCAGGCCCGGACAUUGGAAGGAUUGACAGAUUGAUAGCUCUUUCUUGAUUCAAUGGGUAGUGGUGCAUGGCCGUUCUUAGUUGGUGG
rnacentral:rRNA from 1 species